AGCGCUGCAGCCAAUCGCCGGGCGGAGAUAUGUUCCACAGACAGCCGAGUGACCAAUAGGGGUCUCGAGGGUAAAGCCCGCAUUUCCCGACCCCACCCAUCCUGGCAGCUCUCAGCGCUCUGCCGGGCGUACGGUAGAUGGAGCUCUCGGUGCGUAAAUGGCAUCCAACACAAACACGAACCACCGGAUCGGGUGUUACAGCGACGUCCGUCAAAACCGACAGAUGGUGAAGCUGCAGCCUCGACUGUGGAAAAUACCCAGAGGAUGACAACAGCUAAUCAGCCAACAAGUGCCAGGAGGAAGACCAAAACCAACAAUGUGCCAGUCCAUCUCUCAACAUUUCUACUUUUGUUCCCUGUCUGUGGAUCUCAGCCUCAAGAUCUUUGGUUCCUAUUGAAGACAUACAUCUUUAAAAAGAGGUCACAAAUACAUUCUUUCAUUAUUUUUAAAUUGCUCAGUAACUUCACUCAAAAAGAAGUAAAUAGUCCAUUUCUGGGGGAUUAAUACACAUUUGAUGUUCUAGUGAAUGUUUCCAGCAGCAGGAUCGUGCAUGUGGGACUGAGCCAAAAUAAACCGCAGGGCCCGUGUUUAUGGUAAUGAAAUAAACAUGUCACCCAGUGCAGCAGUUUGGAUAAAAGGUGACUAUUGAAUACUUUUGGAACAACACUGGAGUUCUGCGGCUCAGAGGAACAAGAUACAGUGUAGCAGGUUUUGGCUACACAGACAAUACUGGUUGGCUCAUUAAACUUGUUGGUUUUGGUCUUUUUAUGGGAUUUUUUGACAUCAUAAUUUAGUUGAUUAAUCUGUUACUGACAGACACCACUCUCAUUAAGUCUCUUGCUCUUUGUGAUUCUGUAUCCACCAGACCCCAAUUAAGCAGCGGAGUACCUCAAAGUUAUAUUCUGGGUCCUGUUCUGUUCUCUACUUAUGUCUUUUUAUGCACAUUAUGUCUUGAAAUCAUUUUGCUGAUUUGAAAGAAAGUCACACAUGACCUUAAACUGAAUGCAGAUCAAAGUGAAGUGGUAUUUUUAACACAGUGAUACUCUAACUACUUUGUUAUUGUGUUGCAACUGAUGGCUCACUGGGACUCAGCUUUGAUUCUGAUCAGAAUUUUGAAAAACAGGUUUAACGAGGUGCUCAGUUGUGUUGUGUCUUCCAUUUUAAGAUCCAUCCUUGUUGAAUUUGUAAAAGUUGUUAAUAAUCUUUUUAACUUUGUUUCAUCCCGCAGACUGACUUACAACCAGAGCUAAAAUGAAUGAUCGUGUAAACCUGAAUUUAUAAAACUUGCAUUCACUUGCUGUUGAUUUUAGAGUCAUUUUAGAGUAAUUUAGGAACACCCAGGUACUGUAACUUUUUGUUAGAAAUAUUUGCUCAGAAUCUUGAAGAAAAAGAUGACUGACCAUCUUAAACCUUCUUAUGAUUCUGAAGUGUAGACAAAAGGUGGCCAAGAUGUCUGGGCCCCUAAAUCUGAACUAUCUGAUAUCGCAAUUACCCAAACAUAUAUAAUCUUUUGAGUUUUUACAAUUAAAAAAACAUAUUCAUAAAGGGAUUUCUAAGUAACACUGUGAUUUUGCUAGUUUAAUUACAGUUCCUCCUAUAAGUGAAAGGGAACAUCGGAUAUCCGGACCAUAGGCUGUAACGGGAAGCCAGGCCGCCUGAGUGGUGUCCUCCUUGGCCUUUGCCCAUGGGGCUCUACUUGGUUUGGUGUGCGGCGUAUGGUACGGGCUGAAACCACCACUCCAGAUUGCUCCAGGUCUGCCUGAAGCUCUCUAGAUGUCUUGCAUGGUGUUUUUUCCACAAUCCACAUCAACCUACACAGACUUCUCUCGCUGAGUUUCUUCUUAGCACCACAUCCUGGAAGUGUCUUAACAGUUUGACUGUAAAACCUCUUGAUAACAUUAGGAACUGUUGAAACAGGGAUUUCAAGAUUUUCGCUGAUUGCUUUGUAGCCUUUGGAAUUGUUAUGUUUUUAGAUAAUAGCUUUUCUGAUGCUCUCA